UCUCAUUGAAAACACCACACAUUUUCAAGGUUCCUUCACAUUGUAGAUUGACAUCCUUUACAUUAUCAAAAUGUCCUUCCUUUUUUAUUUGUUUAUUAAAAAAAAUUUUUUUUUUUUUGAGAUAGUGUCUUUCUAUGUAGCCCUGACUGUCCUGGAACUCUCUGUGUAGACUCUCUUGUGCUCCAGGUGACCAGGCCACAGUAGGAACUGGGUAAGUGAUGGGUGGGUAAAGGGGCCAUCCCCACUUUUGGUGAUUCAUCCUCUUUGGAGUGUCUCCUUCCUGUUAUCCAGGGUCCUCUAUUUUAUAGGAUGGUGCUAGGAGUGAUUGGAGAGGUUACUAAGGGGCCCCGCCUUUCCAGAUCAUUUCUAUAGAUCUCUGUAUAUCUAACACGUUUUCAGUUAGGUUCUUUUUCUUAUUCUGCACUUCAUCUAAUAUUUAGAGGUAGAGCUAUUUCUACCAGAGAUGCCCCUCCCUUGCCUUGCGGGUGUGAGGAGGAAGCUGCCUGUAGAUGUGAGAUGCUGUUAAGAAGCAAGGAGAUAUCACGGAGAGACUGCUCUUUCUUUUCUUGGAAAAUUGCCUCCACUCUCCAGCUCUCUAAGGAAUUGCUCUAUGAAGAGCAGAGAGGCCUGUUGGUUGUUUUCUCAUUUGGCUUACAUCAGUAAUAUUUUGCUUAAUUACAUGCUGUUUAUAGCUAUUUUAAAUUGAAGCUUCAGUCUUGAGACACCAAGAGAACUUCAGAUAUUAAGAAUAUAUAGACAUUAUAUUAGAGACUUAUCUUCUUGUUCUUAGUUUUAUAAAAGAAUCAUGUUUCUUUGCUUCCAAAAGUAGUAGAGGAUACAGUUAUUAUUCUAAAUUUUGUCAUCAUUAUUAGCAAUAGAGGCAAAGAAAGAGGCUGGUCACAGAAACAUUUGGCUCAGCUCUUUCCUUCGAAAAUUUUGUUCUUUGCAUUUACCACGCUGUUGCCAUUCCAAUUAACUGAAGAUAUUGGUUAUCUAUCUAAAGGGACUUCUGAAUUCCUCCAGGUUGCUCUGGUCUUGAUAUUGGCAUGAGAGAGUCACAUUGACGAUAUUGUCAGGAUGUCUCUGGAACAGUUAGCACAUGGUGGACCACAGUACCCAUAAAGAUGCUGCUGCCUUUCAAUCAGAGACCAAAAUGCAGACUUGGGCUUCAGCUCAGCACUAGAACACUUUCCUAAUGUGCCAGAGGCCCUGGGUUUGAUCUCUAGUACCUCCCCACCCCCACCACCAAAACAAACAAAAAAGCCAGAGAGGCCCCAACCAGCUUUACAAUCUCUCAGCUGUGUGAUGAGCACAGAUGAAGCCCUCAGGGCCACAUCGCAUCAUUUCUGCAGAAGGAGGACAAUUCUUUCCGGGCAAGACAGUUGAGGGAUUAAAGACAGAAGUCUGUAAAGCAUGGUCACAGCACCGUUUGCUCCUUAUAGAACUGUCCACUGGUUUAAAUUGAUCUAAUGUCCUUAGGACCCCACUCUAAUGUUGAGAUGGCAUGUUAUGGCAUGCCUGACAGUGUAUUUCAUUGCUCUUCUACUUCUUAAUGAUCAUGGAGGAUCGCUUUUAGGUCGAUCAUUUACUCAGAUAUUGUUAAAGGGGGAGGGAGAUUGGUAUUCUAGAUUGGAUCUUGGAAGUAUUUGGAACAGAAACAGUGCAGAGCUGAGGUCCAAGCGUCCCUUUGGUGUCCUUGAGACUGAUUUUGCUGUGGUGACAGAUAUGGGCAUAAUUGGUGUGUGCUCCAGAUCAGCUGUCUGCUUCAUGAUGUCGGAAGAAAUCUUGUAACUCUGAGCUUCCCUUGGGCAUCUCCUAGAACACUGACGUGAAUGGUCUGGGUUCUUCUGACAUCUUUGAUGGUGUUUUACACAGCAGGGGCUGUACUUUCCACUGUUCUUGCCCCAUGCCAUUCAUUUCCUCUAGUUCCCCCACCACCCAUUCUCCAUCUUUGUAGCCUGUCUGAAGUCCCCCGUUACAGAAUUUUGAUACCUUUUGAGAGCUAUAUCAAGUAUAGUACUAAAUUUAAUGUUCUGGAAUUUUCUGGACAGCUUGAAUUAUCUGACUAAAUCCAAGAGUGGCUGCUACCUAUCCCUAUCAUCAUUCCCAUGCUGUGCCACUGAGCCGUGUUAAAUAAAACCAUCUCUCUUGAUAGGAAAGGUCUGAACUCAGCGUGUGUGUGUGUGUGUGUGUGUGUGUGUGUGUGUGUGUGAGAGAGAGAGAGAGAGAGAGAGAGAGAGAGAGAGAGAGAGAGAGAGAGAGAAUGAAUGUAUGUGUUUAUGAGAGUCUCUGUGUAAGAGACUCUCACAUACAUAUUCACUCGUGUGUGUGUGUGUGUGUGUGUGUGUGUGUGUGUGUGUGUGUGUGUGUGUUUGGGUGUGUGAACCAGAGGUUGAUAUCAGAUAUCUAUCACUCUCCACAUUUUAUUUUUUGAAGCAUAAUCUUUCACGAAGCCUGGAGCUUGAAGAUGGACUGGACGGGCUGGCAGUUGAGCCUCUGGGUUGCCUGUCUCCUCCCGUCCCAGCAUGCACCACCUUGCCUGGCUGGGGAUCCGAACUCAGAUCCUGUGCUGCUUGUGUAGCAAGUACUUUGCCCACUGAGCCGUCUUUCCAGACUCUGAAUUCGAUUCCUAACCUGUUAAAUUUCUCUAAUAUAUCCUCACAGAUACUUAGACUUUUUUUUUUCUUUUGAAGCAGGGUCUCACGUUACAAGCUGGCCUUGACCUCACUGUGUUUGGCUACAAGGAUGACCUUGAGCUUUUCAGGUGUGCCCCACAGCACCCAACCUAUGUGGUGUUGGGAUAGACGCAGGACCUUGUCCCUGCUAGGCAAGCAUUCUACUAAGAACUGCUUCUCCGGCCCCAGAUGUCCCACCGCCUGACUGGAUGGCUUUGCUUCCAAUUUGCCUAAACCCUUCCAUUCUAUGCAGCGUUGAUGAUAAUUUCUACUCUUUCUAAUAUUUUUUUCCAGUAUUUGAACAAUGAAAAAUAAUUUCACUCAUCUUUCAGACCCUAUUGCAAAUGUCAUUUCUCCCACAAGGCCUUUCUUCCAGCCAUUUAGCUUUCACUGCAUGAAUGAUGCAUGCUCACUGUCAAAAAUGUAGAGGACAGAGAACACAGGAGGGAAAAGGGAGACAAAGUUAUGGUUAACUCUGGCAUGGGUGACACCUGCUACUGGGAUAUGUAGUCCUUCAUUCCAGAUUUUUCUUUCCUAUAGUAUAUGCGUUUUAACAAAAUUACCACUAUCCUACUAUAUAUGUUAUUUUAUAACCAAUUUUCUUUUCACUUAAAAUAUCUUGAACAUUUCUGUGUUCAUUAAGUAUUUCAUUUAGGGAUAUGGUAGUAUCGUGGAUAACAGCAAAAAUCUGGAAACAACACAAUUAUCUUGUUGAAGGAUGGAAUAAACAAAAGUUGCCAAAGCCCAAAAGUAUGAUCAAAUAUUCAGUGACUAUUAAAAUAACUACCAUAUAUCUGUGCUUUGCUAAUGUGGAAAAUAUCUGAGCCAAACUGUUAAAGAUUGAAAGCGAAGUGCCAGAUGUGGGGGUAUACUGUGACACCCACAAUCUGAAUAAAAAUAAGUCUGCAACAGUUCCAUGCUUGCAUACGUGCUUUGAAACACAGGCCUUUAUGUAAGCAUACUGGGCAUCCUUUAGGUAAAGGUACUGUCUUUGGAUGCCCUUGGACAGAGGGAUAUUUUGAGUAUUUAGCGUGAAGGUAGGGGGGACUCUGGGGUAGGAAAAAGACAUUUCAUUGACAUUUUGAGGGGUUUGGACAUUUUAAACAUCUGUGUUUUAUGGACAUUUCCAUAUAAUUGUAUUAAAUAUUUGUCUACAAUGUAACCUUGGAUGGCUACAUAUAUUCUAGUGAAUAAUUGCACUAUAAUGUAUGGGAUCACUUCUCAAUUGAUGAGGAUAUAGGCUACUUCAAGUUUUGGGCUACCCUGCACCAUACAGCAGUAGCCUUUUUGUAGCUCUCACUAAAUUACCCUCAAGAGACUUUGUGCUGUUUUAUUUUUUUGACUGAGAUCUUCCAGUGAAUGUGAUUGCUUAUGACUUUGAAUUCCCAUACAACUCCAUUUGCAUAUCUGGGCUAUGGAAGGUAGCUGGGGUUUCUUCCACCAUCAGAGAAGAGCAGUAGAUGCACAUCUUACAUCCCUGAGUCCUUAUUGCAUCUCUAGCUAUCUAAAUGAUAAUGUAUACACUUUAGACACUUUUAAAUGUCAGAGACGGUGGCUGCCGUACUUGUUUCCUUUCCUGCUUCAACACAGAGCUGCAGUGAAUCAUUUCACACAGUGAGUGAACAUCUUUCUACAAUGAUGGUAAUGCAAUUUAGCCAGCUGAAUGUCCUGAGAUAGCCCUGUUUGUAGACCACUAUAAACCAUACUCUGUAGACCCUCAUGAAAUACCAACGUCUUUAACAAUUGAGCUAAGGCAAUUUUACACACAUAUAAAAAUACUUCUACAUAAAUAUAUAUAUCAUAAAGUUGUGUAACCAAGCCACAGAACUGAGCAAUGGUGACUGCUUCUGGCUUCCUCAUUAAUAAUUAGUUGCCCCUGUCAUUUAUUUUUCUUCUAUUGGCUCCUGGCGGCAGACAAUUAGCAGUCAGUGCGGAGGUAAGAAACACUGAUGAGUUUUGUCAUGUGGGAAAUUACCUUGAUGCAAAUAGCCUCUGCAUAGACCACGAGUGAGGUGAGCUAUCCCAGAGGUUAUGGAUCACAAAUUAAGAGGCCUGAGUUACAUGGUUUAUUGAAUCAAUUAAAAACACACAGUGGGAAGUAAGGAGAGGGAGGUGGAGUACAUUCACGUAGCAAUGAACUAGAAGAACAAUUCUGCAUGAAUCCUAAUCAGCCGCCAGCCUCCCUCUUCCCUCUCCCUCUUCCUCCCUGCCUUCUCCAUCUCCCUGUACCUUCUCCUUUCCCCAAGCUCUCUCUCAUUAGCCUUCCCUGCAAUGGUGGAGCAGUGAGGACCAGAAUUAAGCAAGGAGACUCCUUCGAAGAGAUGCAGCACACGUACACUCUGUAACCAGCCUGGUAGGAGUGAAGAUGUUCUAAAAGGACACUUGUGCCCUUCUCUUUGGCUAUCAGACUGUUGAGACAGUGGACCCGAAAGGAACGGUAAUUCUCCCAGGAAUCUCUUGCUGGGAGAAGGAGAAGACUGGGAGGAGCCUGGUGCCUGCCAGAGCAGAGCAGAGCAGAACAGAGUGGUCUCCCAGAACGAGAUUCAUAACUUGUCAGAUAAUUGUGGGAGAGACUGGAGCUCAGACAAAGACGGACCCUGGACUAGGACUGUUUAGCUGUGCAUGCCUCUUUUACUUCUAUUUAAACCUAAACCUUAUGCCAGGACCCUGAAGAUGAGCUUGAAGGGGUCCCUGGGCCUCUGUUCUUUUUCCCAACAUGGCCACGGUGGUCCAGGCUGACUUGUCCUAGCUGUCAAGGCCCAGGCUGUAACCCUAACAAAUGGCUCUUAAGCGACUUGUUGACUAUACAAGAUAUAAGUUGUGAACUUUGUAUUUUCCAUUUGCUGUCUCUGUCUUCUGUAGAACUAAAUAUUCUUAAAUAAAUAAAUGGCCACUACCAGUUUAAAACCUAA